rnacentral:tRNA from 2 species
GCGGGUAUGGUUCAAUGGUAGAAUAGGAGCUUUCCAAGCUUUUGACGGGGGUUCGAUUCCCCCUACCCGCUCAA